GACGAGGGUAAACCAUUGAAACAGUGGCUAAGACUGGAUAGGAAGAUAAAAGGCAUCUUUUAUCUUUUAAAAGACCUAGUAAUAGGUAUGCUUUAGGAGGGGCUUGCGCCAUAUUAGUUAGUUGGUAGGGUAAUGGCCUACCAAGACGAUGAUGUGUAGCUGGACUGAGAGGUUGAACAGCCACAUUGGGACUGAGACACGGCCCAAACUCCUACGGGAGGCAGCAGUAGGGAAUUUUCGGCAAUGGAGGAAACUCUGACCGAGCAACGCCGCGUGAAUGACGAAGUACUUCGGUAUGUAAAGUUCUUUUAUCAAGGAAGAAAAGCAAAUGGCGAACCAUUUGUUUGCCGGUACUUGAUGAAUAAGCCCCGGCUAAUUAUGUGCCAGCAGCCGCGGUAAGACAUAAGGGGCAAGUGUUAUCCGGAAUUAUUGGGCGUAAAGGGUGCGUAGGCGGUCUAGUAAGUCAGUGGUGUAAUGGCAACGCUUAACGUUGUCCGGCUAUUGAAACUGCUAAACUUGAGUUAGAUAGAGGCGAGUGGAAUUCCAUGUGUAGCGGUAAAAUGCGUAAAUAUAUGGAGGAACACCAGAGGCGUAGGCGGCUCGCUGGGUCUUAACUGACGCUGAGGCACGAAAGCGUGGGGAGCAAACAGGAUUAGAUACCCUGGUAGUCCACGCCGUAAACGAUGAGUACUAAGUGUCGGGUUAAACCGGUACUGAAGUUAACACAUUAAGUACUCCGCCUGAGUAGUACGUACGCAAGUAUGAAACUUAAAGGAAUUGACGGGACUCCGCACAAGCGGUGGAUCAUGUUGUUUAAUUCGAAGAUACCCGAAAAACCUUACCAGGUCUUGACAUGUUUUUGCAAAAUGAUAGUAAUAUCGUGGAGGUUACCAGAAACACAGGUGGUGCAUGGUUGUCGUCAGCUCGUGUCGUGAGAUGUUAGGUUAAGUCCUAAAACGAGCGAAACCCUUAUCGUUAGUUGCCAGCACGUUAUGGUGGGGACUUUAACGAGACUGCCAAUGAUAAAUUGGAGGAAGGUGAGGAUCACGUCAAAUCAGCAUGCCCCUUAUGACCUGGGCUACAAACGUGAUACAAUGGCUGUUACAAAGGGUAGCUGAAACGCAAGUUCUUGGCCAAUCCCCAAAAACAGUCCCAGUCCGGAUUGAAGUCUGCAACUCGACUUCAUGAAGUUGGAAUCGCUAGUAAUCGCGAAUCAGCAUGUCGCGGUGAAUACGUUCUCGGGGUUUGUACACACCGCCCGUCAAACCACGAAAGUUGGCAAUAC
rnacentral:rRNA from 1 species